rnacentral:rRNA from 1 species
UACGUAGGGGGCUAGCGUUGUCCGGAAUCAUUGGGCGUAAAGCGCGUGUAGGCGGUCCGGUAAGUCCGCUGUGAAAGUCGGGGGCUCAACCCUCGGAUGCCGGUGGAUACUGUCGGGCUUGAGUACGGAAGAGGCGAGUGGAAUUCCUGGUGUAGCGGUGAAAUGCGCAGAUAUCAGGAGGAACACCAAUUGCGAAGGCAGCUCGAUGGGACGUUACUGACGCUGAGACGCGAAAGCGUGGGGAGCAAACAGG